GACGCGUCGCACAAAGCUUCUCCACUGCUCACGCGAGAGCCGAGCCCAGCCCUUUUCCCCUGCUGCCAGAGCGAGCGCUCGCCACGCCCGCCAUGGCCAUGGUCACCCCUCCACGCCGAGCCGCCGCUCGAGCCAGCGCCGACCCCCACCAACCCCCAAAUCCGUUUGCUCUCGUCCCAACGAAGCUCCCAGGCCCAGCCAUCACCUCCACGCCUCGCCGGAACGCCGCCACAGCGGCACAGUACCGCCGCCGCCCGCCGUGGAACCGCCACCAUGGACCACCUCCUCGCGCUCCAAGGCCACCUACAGGUACGAUAGAUGAACCUCGUGAGGGAUGUGACAUUGAAGCCGAGCCAGAAGAUGGUGAAUGGUGGACCCAUCUAGAAGAUGGAUGGAUGGAUCCCGAUGUGCAUGACCGAAGGCAGGUGCUCGCCAAGCGAGUAUCAUCUAACUAACACUGACUCAGUGUUCAUCCCAGGCAAGCCCCGGUGCAUGUCCUAUUAUUUUAAAUUAUGCUUCACUAUAUAUAUGUUUUAUCUAUUACUUGUGCAUUACGUAUUAGGAAUUGAUUGGAACCCUCGCUGCAUGAUCCUUAGGUUUCCCCGAAUUUUUACUAGUAUGUCUAGGUCGAUAGUGGUGCCAGGCUAAAAGAGUCCGGUAGAAGUCGGGUGACUUCGUGUCACUCGCGAGACAUAGGAAACUUUAGAAGCCGAGUAAUUGCCGGUUACUCGCGAGGUACAUUAUUAUCUUUAUACUUCAGUAUUUGUGAAAUGGAUUGUAUUGGAUAUGGAGAUGUGAGACCGGGCGGGGAUGAUGGAUAGGUAUGGCAGCAGGACAGGGUUUCUGUGUGUCUUAGUCCCGUCCGUGUCGAUUAAGGACCGGUCGUUGUGGCAGUGCUGAUCGGGGAUUGAAUUGUACUAACCGCAUGCCGGAAGUAGGAGGUAGUCGAAACCGGUAAGCCGAGUACUGCCUUACUUCGAAAGUACAGGACUCCUUCCCACCCCUUAGGGCGAGUCGAGUAGUCGCGGAGAAUUGGGAUGCAUGUAUUUACUUUUGGUGGUCUCUCGUUGAGCUCGGCUGACUAUACGCUGGUGGGGCGGUCCUGUAGUUCGAGGCGGGGAGGGGAAUGGUUGGUUUGUAUUGUCCGACGGGGCAAAUACGGGCCGUGUUGGUUAGGUCCACCUUGCAAGGUUAAAUCGGAUCGAUUCGCCGUGUCUCGCGGUUAUGAGGGCCUUGGUCUCUUUGUCACACCGUAGCAAAUGAGAUAGGAUAUUAGAAACAUUAAAUGGAUACUAUUCUGAAUCUUAAUUUGUAUGUCCCAACUUGAGUGUUUAGACAGGCAAACAUUAGUAAGAGUUUAUCUAUUUAAAAUAUGCGGCUAAAACAUGGAAAGUAAGGAUACACCUCUAGUUGCUGUUCUGCAAAACAAACCACUGACCAAAGGCCGUGCAUGUCUAGAUAUGUGGGCUAAGUUAUACCCACUGGUCGGGUAAGUCUUGCUGAGUAUUAGUAUACUCAGGGUUUGUUGUUUACCCUAUUUCAGGUAUAGAAGCUAACCAGGAUUCGCAUCAGUGGGCUCGAUGUGACGUCCUCGCGUGUUCAUAAUUAUCGUAUUGUUUUAUUGGUUCUCAAUCAAAUUUCUUCCUCUCAGGUCAUAUUCUCUUCUGCUGCUGUCAUUUAUUUUAUGUAAAUUCUAAAUUUAAAGCUAUUUUGUAAAUAUUUAUGUUAUUAUCUA